CCUACGGGCGGCAGCAGUAGGGAAUAUUGCUCAAUGGGGGAAACCCUGAAGCAGCAACGCCGCGUGGAGGAUGAAGGUUUUCGGAUUGUAAACUCCUUUUGUUAGAGAAGAUAAUGACGGUAUCUAACGAAUAAGCACCGGCUAACUCCGUGCCAGCAGCCGCGGUAAUACGGAGGGUGCAAGCGUUACUCGGAAUCACUGGGCGUAAAGAGCGCGUAGGCGGGAUAGCAAGUCAGAUGUGAAAUUCUAUGGCUUAACCGUAGAACUGCAUUUGAAACUGUUAUUCUAGAGUAUGGGAGAGGUAGGUGGAAUUCUUGGUGUAGGGGUAAAAUGCGUAGAGAUCAAGAGGAAUACUGAUUGCGAAGGCGACCUGCUAGAACAUAACUGACGCUGAUGCGCGAAAGCGUGGGGAGCAAACAGGAUUAGAUACCCUAGUAGUC
rnacentral:rRNA from 1 species